GAUGAACGCUGGCGGCGUGCCUAAUACAUGCAAGUCGAGCGAACGGACGAGAAGCUUGCUUCUCUGAUGUUAGCGGCGGACGGGUGAGUAACACGUGGAUAACCUACCUAUAAGACUGGGAUAACUUCGGGAAACCGGAGCUAAUACCGGAUAAUAUUUUGAACCGCAUGGUUCAAACGUGAAAGACGGUCUUGCUGUCACUUAUAGAUGGAUCCGCGCUGCAUUAGCUAGUUGGUAAGGUAACGGCUUACCAAGGCAACGAUGCAUAGCGGACCUGAGAGGGUGAUCGGCUACACUGGAACUGAGACACGGUCCAGACUCCGACGGGAGGCAGCAGUAGGGAAUCUUCCGCAAUGGGCGAAAGCCUGACGGAGCAACGCGGCGGGAGUGAUGAAGGUCUUCGGAUCGUAAAACUCUGUUAUUAGGGAAGAACAUAUGUGUAUGUAACUGUGCAGAUCUUGACGGUACCUAAUCAGAAAGCCACGGCUAACUACGUG
rnacentral:rRNA from 1 species